UGAGGAAUUUAAAAAUUAAAGAAUUUGGCGGUAUUUUAUCCUAAUAGGGGAAUUUGUCCUUUAAUCGAUAGCCCACGUAAGAUCUUACCUUAAUUUUGUAUGUAUACCGUUGUUGUUAGAUUACUUUGUAUAAUUAGUGAGUUUUCAAGAUAAAUUAUUUUAUUACUUCAAAUCAAGGUGCAGUUUAUGUUAAGGAAGAGAUGAAUUACUAUAAGCAAGGGGUUGAUAGGGAGAGGAAUCUUUUUUUUUGAUAUAGGAUUUAUUAGUAAGUUUAUAUUAAAUUGGUAAGCUGAAACAGGGUCUAAAAUAUGUACAAAUUGCCCGUCACUCUAAUUUUAAGGUUGGAUAAGUCGUAACAAAGUAGAUGUAAGGGAACUUGCCUCUAGAUGU
rnacentral:rRNA from 1 species